GCUCCAGAGAGCCUGGUUCCGAGCAGCAAACGCGCGGUUUAAUCGGGCCGGUGCACGGGGCUGUAGAAACGCGGGGUUUAGCCACCGUGUGUAUUUCUCAACCUUGGAAAAUCACUGACAAUCAAAUGAAACCUGAAGUCAACAGAAGAUCCAUAAAGGCCCUUGGGGAGUUGAGUGCAAGGUGAGUGCAAGUCCCUUGUCAUCAAGGAAGGGUAGGGGUUGCCAACCCCUCCCCCAAAUCUACAGGACCAUGGAUCCUUGACCUUUGAACAUAAAAUGUAUGUCUUUAUCUCUUCUGUUACAUACCACAUAAGAGAGAGAGACAGACUCACAGACAGAGCAUUAAUGAGGCCCAGAAAAAGAUCAUCCUCGUCGACGUCAUGGUCUCCUCUGAGAACAGGACCCUGGUGUUUCGCAAAGCCCGAGCUCAUAAGCUGGAAAAGUAUGUCCCGCUAGCCGACACCCUGAAAGUGAAGGCCUACAAGGUGCAGAUGGACGCCCUGAUCGUCGGAACCCUGAGCGCCUGGGACCCCUGCAACGAGUGUGUGCUGCAGACCUGUGUGCUACGCGCGGCUCAUGCAGUCCCUCCUGGAUUCAGACACCAUCCGAUGGUCCAGGGACAUCUACAUCGAACACAUCACUGGCCACCGACAGUACCAGGAGGUGUGAGCCAGAGCGACAUCAUUCUUCGACUACGAGAAAGAGACCAAGAGGCUUUGUCCGCUGGAUCAUAUGAACUAGAACCAUAAACUCCCUGAACAUUAAAUCUCAGCAAAUGAGGGUCAGUCUAUCCUCAUCAUCAUAUCCACUCAUUAUACUCCACACCCGAACAUAGCCAUCAUAUGAACAACAUACCCUCAUAUCUCAAUGUCUGUACUUUGACCCAUCAAUCUUUUCCCCCCAAUCGGGGAUAUUGCAGAUUAUGUAUUCCUUAUGCCACCCGAUCUUAAACCGAACUUCGCACCCCUCAAUAAUUUGUACAUUAUUCCCUAAUAACCAGAAACUUCUAUGCUUAAACUCUGUACCGUUCACUUUUUUAAAACAUCAUCUUAAUAACAUUUUUAAAGUUAAAAUCUGAAAGCUGUUCUAGUGCAUCAAUUAGCUGGAGAUCAAUGAACCUCAUGCUCAGGUUUGAGGAGUCCUGAGAGGGGGAGAGGAUUUUAUGAGGAUUUUUCAGAGAUUUUGUCUCCCUUUCCCCCACACUUUGUAUACCAUUUGUCUUCUUUCACUGUAAGCUCUUCGGGGCAGGGAACUUUUCUACCUCUUUGUCAAGCCCCAGAGCAGUGGGUCCCUGAUCGGAGCUGCUGGUUGCAGCCAUAUUAAAAAUAUUAAAUAAUAGUCAUUAAUAAUUUGCCCCAAUAACUGCAGUCCUUAGUCUGAGCAGGGGCGGCUCUAUGUCCUUUGCCACCUCAAGCACGGCAGUCAGGCAGCUUUCGGCGGCAUGCCUGCGGGAGAUCUACCAGUCCCGCACCUUUGGCGUACCCGCCGCCAAAUUGCCGCGGAAGCCGUGGGACUGGCGGACCUCCCGCUGGCAUGCCACCGAAGGCAGCCUGACUGCUGCCUUCACAGGGACUGGCAGGCCGCCCCCCGCGGCUUGCCGCCCCAGGCACGCGCUUGCUGCGCUGGUGCCUGGAGCCGCCCCGAGUCUGAGAACCCUAGGGCUUAGGCUGGACAGCCAUUACAUUGGUGAGCACUUACACGAGGAGUCCUAGUCAAGAAUGUAAGUGCUCACUAACCUGAGUAAUGGCUGCAGAAUCAGCCCCAAAAGACCAUUUCCCGGAGUCUCAUCAGAGCACAGUGCUGUCCUGUAUCCCGCGGAUCAAACACGUGUGAACAUUUCAGUGGGCUGCCAAUGUGAGAGGCGUGAGGAAUAACGCCCCUCUUGUUCCUUUCGUUGUCAGGCGAUCGUGGGAGCAGCCCAUCCCAGCCCUGUGGCCGCUGCUCAGCUCUGUGCACUUGGAAGCGUAUUGCACAUCCCUUGUGCUGUCUGCUGAGGGGGGUGGCGGGGGCUGGGGACGACCCGGCCGCUCUCUGCUGCCCCGGGGCGGGAAUCCCCUGCAGCGGCGGGGUCCCCAGGAGCCGCCGCCCCGCCCGGAGCCGCGUUCCAGGGGCUGCAGCCGCAGCUCAGAGGCUGGGCGCCUCCCGGGCUCUCCGACCUACCCGCGAAUGCUAAUUUCCAUAUCCAGAAUGCAUUGCGCACCCUCAGCCGCGUCCCUCGUCCAUGGGCUGGGUGUGCUCCAGAGAGCCUGGUUCCGAGGAGCAAACGCGCGGUUUAAUCGGGCCGGUGCACGGGGCUGUAGAAACGCGGGGUUUAGCCAUCGGCAAGUGUAGUCACCGUGACAUUGUAAAGUGUUGCCCUUGGCCUGGCAGCUCUUCUGCGGAGUGUCGGGUAUACUCUGGUUUCUCUUCAGAUCGUAUAAAUCUUUCGCCUUUUACUAAAGAUUUCCGUGGAGAGGAACAUUUAUGAGUUUCUACCCAAUUUUUUGAGGCUUCACUUCGGUGAAGCUACCCAAUGUUGGUAAAAAAUAGAAAAAAAAAUGUUUUAUAUGUGUAAAAAGUUUGUUUGUCUUAAAAAGGUUUUUGUUUGUGGGUUAUAGGUGGUUUUUUAUUUGUAGGGAAAUUGUUACAUGCUUUCUGUCUGCUAGAUUGUACUAUGUAUAGUGUGUUUAGAGUUUAAAAUACUCAUGAGGUUUUUUUUUUCUAAACUGGGAGUAUUUUAUGACCUUUGUUGAUUUAGGUUGAAUAUGUUUGCUUAGUACAGUAACUUUUAUGUGAAUCCUAUUUCCCCAUAAGAAUUAAUGUAAAUGGGGGGGAAGGUUAGGUGCCAGAGAACUUUUUCUCACCAGACAAAAGUUUUUCUUUUUCUAUAUAUAUAUAUAUAUAUCUACACACACACAGAGUAUAACUUUUAAACAAACAAUUUAAGACUGUACACAGCGAGGAUGAUUUUGAAGCUUGGUUGAGGUGGUGAAGUCAGAGGGUGGGAUAUUUCCCAGGGGAUGCCUUACUGCUAAAUGAUGAACUAGCACUUGCUGAGCCCUCAAGGGUUAAUACGUUGUUAAUGUAGCCUCACACUCUACAAGGCAGCACAAAUGGAGGGAGGGGGGAGACAGCAUGGCAGACAGAGACAGAGAGACACACCCUGUGUGAGAGAUGUGCAUUGCCCCUUUACGUACGCUGACCCCACUCUAAGUACAUUGCCUUUUUAAGUAGAUCAGCAAGUUGAGACAGCAGCUGCUGCCAGCAAGCUCCCUCGGUCCUGAGCCCUGUCGUGUCCCCCCUGCUCUAUGGAGAUGGGGUAAUCUGGGUGCAGGAUCAGGGGGAAAAGGGACACCCUGACAUUAGCCCCCCUCUUCCUGCCCCCGCACAGCAAGCAGGAGGCUCCCGGGAGCAGCUCCAAGGCAGAGGGCAGGAGCAGCACAUGGCAGUGGGGGGAGGGACAGCUGAACUGCCUGGCAAUUGAUAGCCUGCUGGGUGGCUACCACAUGGGGAACUUACGGGAGUGAGGAGCUGAUGGGGGGCUGCCGGCCCACCCUGAUUCCAAGCCCCCCACCAGCUAGCUCUAACAGGCUGCUCUUUCUGCAAACAGUGGACAAAACAGGCGGCUGCCAAAGCACGUUAUAAGGGAGCAUUGCGCAACUUUAAACGAGCAUGUUCUCUAAUUGAUCAGCAACGAAAUGAUGAAACAACGUUAACAGGGACAACUUUAAGUGAGGAGUUACUGUAUUAAUGACUUGUCAAGACAAUACUUGUAUAAUGUAAAAAUAACUUGCAGAUCUAUUUUGAAUUGUCAUUGUCUUUGUGCAUUGUUUAAUUUCCACAUUAAGGAUUUAGAAUAUUAACUAAUCCCUAUGCACAAUAUUUAGCUCGAUCUGCAUGUUUUCUGUUAUUUAAUGGUGGCAAUG